GGCUUUAAUGGUCGAAGGGGAUUCGCACAGUGACACAGUCCUGCUGGACUGCCGCAAUUUUUACGAGAGUAAAAUUGGUCAAUUCUCGCGCUGUCUGGCCCCCGACAUCCGCAAGUUCAGCUAUUUCCCGGACUACGUGGACAAGAACCUGGAGCUCUUCCGAGACAAGAAGGUGCUUAUGUACUGCACCGGAGGCAUCCGCUGCGAGCGAGGAUCUGCUUACCUCCGCUCUAAAGUGAGC